CCUACGGGGGGCUGCAGUGGGGAAUAUUGGACAAUGGGGGGAACCCUGAUCCAGCCAUGCCGCGUGUGUGAAGAAGGCCCUCGGGUUGUAAAGCACUUUCAGUGAGGAAGAACGCCUGGUGGUUAAUACCCAUCAGGAAAGACAUCACUCACAGAAGAAGCACCGGCUAACUCCGUGCCAGCAGCCGCGGUAAUACGGAGGGUGCGAGCGUUAAUCGGAAUUACUGGGCGUAAAGCGCGCGUAGGUGGCUUGAUAAGCCGGUUGUGAAAGCCCCGGGCUCAACCUGGGAACGGCAUCCGGAACUGUCAAGCUAGAGUGCAGGAGAGGAAGGUAGAAUUCCCGGUGUAGCGGUGAAAUGCGUAGAGAUCGGGAGGAAUACCAGUGGCGAAGGCGGCCUUCUGGACUGACACUGACACUGAGGUGCGAAAGCGUGGGUAGCAAACAGGUUAGAUACCCCAGUAGUC
rnacentral:rRNA from 1 species